rnacentral:sRNA from 1 species
GAUAGAUCGGGAUACUCAUCAAAUUACAUCAGAAAACCGGGAAUGCGAUUCAGUUAAUGGCGGGCCACGCCUCCCUGUCGCCAGGUCUUCGAGCCUGGAGUUUCGGCGGGCAUAGGUAACUCUUCGAGUCGGUGGAUUACAAAGGCUGAACCUGCGCUCAAAACCUAUAAGCUCGGAGUUUCAUCACAUCGCC